rnacentral:rRNA from 2 species
ACCCUUUAAUGUUUGAUGUUCUAACGUGGACCCGUGAUCCGGGUUGCGGACAGUGUCUGGUGGGUAGUUUGACUGGGGCGGUCUCCUCCUAAAGAGUAACGGAGGAGCACGAAGGUUGGCUAAUCCUGGUCGGACAUCAGGAGGUUAGUGCAAUGGCAUAAGCCAGCUUGACUGCGAGCGUGACGGCGCGAGCAGGUGCGAAAGCAGGUCAUAGUGAUCCGGUGGUUCUGAAUGGAAGGGCCAUCGCUCAACGGAUAAAAGGUACUCCGGGGAUAACAGGCUGAUACCGCCCAAGAGUUCAUAUCGACGGCGGUGUUUGGCACCUCGAUGUCGGCUCAUCACAUCCUGGGGCUGAAGUAGGUCCCAAGGGUAUGGCUGUUCGCCAUUUAAAGUGGUACGCGAGCUGGGUUUAGAACGUCGUGAGACAGUUCGGUCCCUAUCUGCCGUGGGCGCUGGAGAACUGAGGGGGGCUGCUCCUAGUACGAGAGGACCGGAGUGGACGCAUCACUGGUGUUCGGGUUGUCAUGCCAAUGGCACUGCCCGGUAGCUAAAUGCGGAAGAGAUAAGUGCUGAAAGCAUCUAAGCACGAAACUUGCCCCGAGAUGAGUUCUCCCUGAGACUUAGAGUCUCCUGAAGGAACGUUGAA